rnacentral:rRNA from 1 species
GACGAACGCUGGCGGCGUGCCUAAUACAUGCAAGUCGAGCGGACUUUCAAGAAGCUUGCUUUUUGAAAGUUAGCGGCGGACGGGUGAGUAACACGUGGGCAACCUGCCUGCAAGACGGGGAUAACUCCGGGAAACCGGGGCUAAUACCGGAUAAUAUCUUCCUUCGCAUGAAGGAAGGUUGAAAGGCGGCGCAAGCUGCCGCUUGCAGAUGGGCCCGCGGCGCAUUAGCUAGUUGGUGAGGUAACGGCUCACCAAGGCGACGAUGCGUAGCCGACCGGAGAGGGUGAUCGGCCACACUGGGACUGAGACACGGCCCAGACUCCUACGGGAGGCAGCAGUAGGGAAUCUUCCGCAAUGGACGAAAGUCUGACGGAGCAACGCCGCGUGAGCGAAGAAGGUCUUCGGAUCGUAAAGCUCUGUUGUCAGGGAAGAACAAGUACCGUUCGAACAGGGCGGUACCUUGACGGUACCUGACCAGAAAGCCACGGCUAACUACGUG